UAGGGAAUAUUAGUAAUGGGCGAAAGCCUGAACUAGCAACGCCGCGUGUGCGAAGAAGGCCUUCGGGUUGUAAAGCACUUUUUGAGAGGAUGAGGAAGGACGGUACUCUCAGAAUAAGUCUCGGCUAACUACGUGCCAGCAGCCGCGGUAACACGUAGGAGGCGAACGUUAUCCGGAUUUACUGGGCGUAAAGCGCGUGUAGGUGGUUUGGUAAGUAGGGCGUGAAAGCUCCUGGCUCAACUGGGAGAGGCCGUUCUAAACUGCCGAACUAGAGGAUGGUAGAGGGAGGUGGAAUUCCGGGUGUAGCGGUGGAAUGCGCAGAUGUCCGGAGGAACACCAGUCGCGAAAGCGGCCUCCUGGACCACUCCUGACACUCAGACGCGAAAGCUAGGGUAGC
rnacentral:rRNA from 1 species